rnacentral:ncRNA from 2 species
AUAGAACAAAGUACUUUUCUUCAUAUAAGUCUGGGAAUAGGCCUGGAUGUCUCUACAAGGAAACCGUAAAUUUCCUUUCUAUGGGGAAAGUCUACUUUUAG